UACGUAGGUGACCAGCGUUGUCCGGAUUUACUGGGCGUAAAGAGCGCGCAGGCGGUCGUUCAAGUCGAGUGUGAAAGCCCCCGGCUCAACUGGGGAGGGUCACUCGAUACUGAUCGACUCGAAGGCAGGAGAGGGAAGCGGAAUUCCCGGUGUAGUGGUGAAAUGCGUAGAUAUCGGGAGGAACACCGGUGGCGAAGGCGGUUCUCUGGGCCUGUACUGACGCUGAGGAGCGAAAGCGUGGGGAGCGAACAGG
rnacentral:rRNA from 1 species